UCUGCUUCCCUGCUUUUUACUGGCUAAGAUCAAGUGUAGUAUCUGUUCUUAUCAGUUUAAUAAGUUUUUACAGAGGAACAGAAGCCAUCAACAAAAUGAAAAGACAACUCACUGAAUGGGAGAACAUAUUUGCCGAUACAUCUGAUAAGAGGGUAAUAUCCAAAAUAUGUAAAGAACUUAUACAACUCAAU